rfam:Parcubacteria (Thrbacteria) bacterium GW2011_GWF2_44_350 TW63_C0040, whole genome shotgun sequence.
UUGUAGAGCAUUAAGGGCAUACGGAGGAUGGCUAGACAGAACGUGCCGAUGAAGGACGUAGCAGCCUGCGAUAAGCUUCGGGGAGGUGGCAAGCAACCUUUGAUCCGGAGAUUUCCGAAUGGGGAAACCCGUUACGUUGAAGGCGUAUCAUCUACCGCUGAAUAUAUAGGCGGUAUGAAGGGCACCUGGGGAAGUGAAACAUCUCAGUACCCAGAGGAAAGGAAAAAGAUUAACUCGCUUUGUGUUCAAAGUGUUCUUCGAACAUUUUGAACAUUUAAGUGAGUCCAUUCCCUAAGUAGUGGCGAACGAAAGGGGAACAGUCCAAACUUUUUUAGUGAAACCUUCCGGAUCUUUUCUUUAUGGAGAGUGAAGGAUGGUGAAAGGUGGCAGCCGUUGCUAAAAAAGUGUUGUAAGAUGUUUGUGUGAUUUUCUGCCGAAAGUCGACUUUAGCACGAUAUAUAACAGAAUUCGCUGGAAAGCGAAACCACAGAAGGUGAUAGUCCUGUAAGUGAAAUAUUUCGUGUUACGGUUACAAACACUCUUGAGUACCACGAGACUCGCGAAAUCUUGUGGGAAUCUGCCGCGACUAUGUGGCAAGACUAAAUACGCGUUCUGAUCGAUAGUGAACCAGUACCGUGAGGGAAAGCUUAAAAGAACCCCGGAAGGGGAAUGAAAUAGUAUCUGAAACCGUAUGCUUACAAGGAGUUAGAGUCCCACCGUAGCCCGUAAGGGCGAAGGGGGAUGAUAGCGUUCCUAUUGAAGAAUGAGCCAACGAGUGUGCUGCGUGUCGCUCGGUUAAGCCUUAAGGGGCGAAGCCAUAGUGAAAGCAAGCGUUCACCCGCGUUCUCUGACUUUGUUCAAGGAUCCGUAGAGGUAUAAAAUUUUAUGCCUUCUAUAGCCCUUGAACAUAGUCAGAAGGUGGCACGCACACGACCCGAAACCGAGUGAUCUAACCAUGGCCAGGGUGAAGCGAGUGUAAUAGCUCGUGAAGGCCCGAACCCACGCGCCGUACAACACGCGGGGAUGAGCUGUGGUUAGCGGAGAAAUUCCAAUCGAACUCGGUAAUAGCUGGUUCUCCCCGAGAUAGCUUUUGGGCUAGCGUCGGUAAAUAAUGUGUUGGGGGUAGAGCACUGAAUGGGACGGUCGCCGCAAGGUAGACCUCCUAACCAAACUCCGAAUACCAACACGUGUUCCCGGCAGUCAGACGAUGGGGGCUAAGCUCCAUACGUCGAAAGGAAAACAGUCCAGAUCUCAAACUAAGGUCCCUAAAUCAUCAUUAAGUGUAGAAGGUGGUGAAGAGGCUCAUACAACCAGGAGGUUGGCUUAGAAGCAGCCAUCCUUUAAAGAUAGCGUAACAGCUCACUGGUCAAGCCUUUUUGCGCCGAAAAUGUACCGGGGCUAAAUGGUGUACCGAAGUUGAGGGUUUAAUCGCAAGAUUAAGCGGUAGGGGAGCAUUCGCAUCUGCGCUGAAGUCGUGUCGUAAGGCAUGGUGGAGCGUUGCGAAGAGAGAAUGUUGGCAUGAGUAGCAAGAAGACAGGUGAGAAUCCUGUCCGCCGUAAACCCAAGGUUUCCUGGGCAACGAGAAUCGUCCUAGGGUUAGUCGGGAGCUAAGGCGAGGCCGAAAGGCGUAGUCGAUGCACAGCAGGUUAAUAUUCCUGCACUUCGUUUUGUUUCGAUGAGGGGACGCUUUCCGUACCCUCCCGCGUCAUAUGGCUAUGGCGUUGGGUGCGCUGAGGCGAUUGGUAGGUAAAUCCGCCAGUCACAAACCUCGGCGUAAGCGCAAGUUGGUCGCAAGACUGACAAGGGGAGGGGAAAGAGGGUCAAGAAAAGCCUCUAAGGUUAGGCAAAACGAACCCGUACCGGAAACCGACACAGGUGGGUGGGCACGUGAAUGUGCCAAGGCGUACGAGAGAACCCUUUGUUAAGGAACUCGGCAAAAAAGCGGCUGUAACUUCGGGAUAAAGCCUGGUUGCCCCCGGGAGGGGGCGACCCGCAGCGAAAGACGUCAACCGACUGUUUACCAAAAACACAGGUCCCUGCAAAACUGCAAAGUGAUAUAUAGGGGCUGAUGCCUGGCCAGUGUCAGAACGUUAAGGGAGGGGGUCAUCCACCGCAAGGUGGUGCAGCCUCUAACUGAAGCUAAGGUAGCGAAAUUCCUUGUCGGGUAAGUUCCGACCUGCACGAAUGGCAUAACGAGUUGACGACUGUCUCAACAAGGGACUCGGUGAAAUUGCAAGAUGAGUGAAGAUGCUCAUUGCCCGUGGUUAGACGAAAAGACCCCGUGAAGCUUUACUACAGCUUGUUAUUGGGUUCAUACUUCGUAUGUUCAGUGUAGGUGGGAGCCUUCGGGCGCCAAUGAGACACCACCCUUACGUUGCGUGAAUUCUAACCGAUCGCCGUUAUCCGGUGAUUGGGACAGUAGCUGGUGGGUAGUUUACCUGGGGCGGGUGCCUCCCAAAAAGUAACGGAGGCGUUUACAAAGGUCAGCUUAGCGCGGAUGGAAAUCGCGCUGGACGUGCAA